rnacentral:rRNA from 1 species
UACGGGGGGGGUAAGCGUUGUUCGGAAUUACUGGGCGUAAAGGGCUCGUAGGCGGCCAACUAAGUCAGACGUGAAAUCCCUCAGCUUAACUGGGGAACUGCGUCUGAUACUGGAUGGCUUGGAUUCGGGAGAGGAAUGCGGAAUUCCAGGUGUAGCGGUGAAAUGCGCAGAUAUCGGGAGGAACACCAAUUGCGAAGGCAGCUCGCUGGGACGUUACUGACGCUGAGACGCGAAAGCGUGGGGAGCA